rnacentral:rRNA from 1 species
AGAGUUUGAUCCUGGCUCAGAACGAACGCCGGCGGCGCGGAUAAGACAUGCGAGUCGAACGAGAGAAUUGCUAGCUUGCUAAUAAUUCUCUAGUGGCGCACGGGUGAGUAACACGUGAGUAACCUGCCCCCGAGAGCGGGAUAGCCCUGGGAAACUGGGAUUAAUACCGCAUAGUAUCGAAAGAUUAAAGCAGCAAUGCGCUUGGGGAUGGGCUCGCGGCCUAUUAGUUAGUUGGUGAGGUAACGGCUCACCAAGGCGAUGACGGGUAGCCGGUCUGAGAGGAUGUCCGGCCACACUGGAACUGAGACACGGUCCAGACACCUACGGGUGGCAGCAGUCGAGAAUCAUUCACAAUGGGGGAAACCCUGAUGGUGCGACGCCGCGUGGGGGAAUGAAGGUCUUCGGAUUGUAAACCCCUGUCAUGUGGGAGCAAAUUAAAAAGAUAGUACCACAAGAGGAAGAGACGGCUAACUCUGUGUCAGCAGCCGCGGUAAUACAGAGGUCUCAAGCGUUGUUCGGAAUCACUGGGCGUAAAGCGUGCGUAGGCUGUUUCGUAAGUCGUGUGUGAAAGGCGCGGGCUCAACCCGCGGACGGCACAUGAUACUGCGAGACUAGAGUAAUGGAGGGGGAACCGGAAUUCUCGGUGUAGCAGUGAAAUGCGUAGAUAUCGAGAGGAACACUCGUGGCGAAGGCGGGUUCCUGGACAUUAACUGACGCUGAGGCACGAAGGCUAGGGGAGCGAAAGGGAUUAGAUACCCCUGUAGUCCUGGCAGUAAACGGUGCACGCUUGGUGUGCGGGGAAUCGACCCCCUGCGUGCCGGAGCUAACGCGUUAAGCGUGCCGCCUGGGGAGUACGGUCGCAAGAUUAAAACUCAAAGAAAUUGACGGGGACCCGCACAAGCGGUGGAGUAUGUGGCUUAAUUCGAUGCAACGCGAAGAACCUUACCUGGGCUUGACAUGUAAUGAACAACAUGUGAAAGCAUGCGACUCUUCGGAGGCGUUACACAGGUGCUGCAUGGCCGUCGUCAGCUCGUGUCGUGAGAUGUUUGGUUAAGUCCAGCAACGAGCGCAACCCCUGUUGCCAGUUACCAGCACGUGAAGGUGGGGACUCUGGCGAGACUGCCCAGAUCAACUGGGAGGAAGGUGGGGACGACGUCAGGUCAGUAUGGCCCUUAUGCCCAGGGCUGCACACGUACUACAAUGCCCAGUACAGAGGGGGCCGAAGCCGCGAGGCGGAGGAAAUCCUAAAAACUGGGCCCAGUUCGGACUGUAGGCUGCAACCCGCCUACACGAAGCCGGAAUCGCUAGUAAUGGCGCAUCAGCUACGGCGCCGUGAAUACGUUCCCGGGUCUUGCACUCACCGCCCGUCA